rnacentral:rRNA from 1 species
UUUAUUGGAGAGUUUGAUCCUGGCUCAGGAUGAACGCUGGCGGCGUGCCUAAUACAUGCAAGUCGAGCGAACGGAUUAAGAGCUUGCUCUUAAGAAGUUAGCGGCGGACGGGUGAGUAACACGUGGGUAACCUGCCCAUAAGACUGGGAUAACUCCGGGAAACCGGGGCUAAUACCGGAUAACAUCUAGCACCGCAUGGUGCAAAAUUGAAAGGCGGCUUCGGCUGUCACUUAUGGAUGGACCCGCGUCGCAUUAGCUAGUUGGUGAGGUAACGGCUCACCAAGGCGACGAUGCGUAGCCGACCUGAGAGGGUGAUCGGCCACACUGGGACUGAGACACGGCCCAGACUCCUACGGGAGGCAGCAGUAGGGAAUCUUCCGCAAUGGACGAAAGUCUGACGGAGCAACGCCGCGUGAGCGAUGAAGGCCUUCGGGUCGUAAAGCUCUGUUGUUAGGGAAGAACAAGUAUGAGUUGAAUAAGCUCAUGCUUUGACGGUACCUAACCAGAAAGCCACGGCUAACUACGUGCCAGCAGCCGCGGUAAUACGUAGGUGGCAAGCGUUAUCCGGAAUUAUUGGGCGUAAAGCGCGCGCAGGCGGUUUCUUAAGUCUGAUGUGAAAGCCCACGGCUCAACCGUGGAGGGUCAUUGGAAACUGGGAGACUUG